AAGUCAUCAGCAACAGCUGGGAUGCACACCUGGGGCUGGGGGCCUGCGGAGAGGCCGAGGGCCUGGGGGUCCAGGGGGCUGAGGAGGAGGAGGAGGAGGAAGAAGAGGAGGAGGAGGAGGGGGCCGCGGUGGGGCCAGAGCAGGCGGAGAGGGAGAGCCGGGCAGUUGCUGGGGCAGAAGGGACUGGAGGAUGGGAUAGAAGGGCAAAGAUGGGGUGACUGGAGAUGAGACGCGGGGCCCAGCCCGCUGCCCCCCGCCGUCGCCAAUGCGGUCCUUUGUCCCUCCUUAGGCGACGUUCCGCUGUCCCCUGGAGCUCCCU
rnacentral:lncRNA from 10 species